rnacentral:rRNA from 1 species
GAUGAACGCUGGCGGCGUGCCUAAUACAUGCAAGUCGAGCGAACAGACGAGGAGCUUGCUCCUCUGACGUUAGCGGCGGACGGGUGAGUAACACGUGGAUAACCUACCUAUAAGACUGGGAUAACUUCGGGAAACCGUAGCUAAUACCGGAUAAUAUAUUGAACCGCAUGGUUCAAUAGUGAAAGACGGUCUUGCUGUCACUUAUAGAUGGAUCCGCGCCGCAUUAGCUAGUUGGUAAGGUAACGGCUUACCAAGGCGACGAUGCGUAGCCGACCUGAGAGGGUGAUCGGCCACACUGGAACUGAGACACGGUACAGACUCCUACGGGAGGCAGCAGUAGGGAAUCUUCCGCAAUGGGCGAAAGCCUGACGGAGCAACGCCGCGUGAGUGAUGAAGGUCUUCGGAUCGUAAAACUCUGUUAUUAGGGAAGAACAAAUGUGUAAGUAACUAUGCACGUCUUGACGGUACCUAAUCAGAAAGCCACGGCUAACUACGUG